GGGGAAUUAGCUCAAAUGGUAGAGCGCUCGCUUAGCAUGCAAGAGGUAGCGGGAUCCAUGCUUGCAUUUUCCA
rnacentral:tRNA from 1 species